AGCGCAGGCGGUCUUUUAAGUCUGAUGUGAAAGCCUUCGGCUUAACCGGAGAAGUGCAUCGGAAACUGGGAGACUUGAGUGCAGAAGAGGACAGUGGAACUCCAUGUGUAGCGGUGAAAUGUGUAGAUAUAUGGAAGAACACCAGUGGCGAAGGCGGCUGUCUGGUCUGUAACUGACGCUGAGGCUCGAAAGCAUGGGUAGCGAACA
rnacentral:rRNA from 1 species